rnacentral:lncRNA from 1 species
CUGUCUCAUCAACAGUGGCUACAUGAAGUUUAGUCGCUGUUAGCAGCCUCCAGGAGCUUUUUUGGCUUGUGCAGUUUUUCGAAAGAAUUGCUGGAUGUCCAUCGCCAACAGNNNUGGAUGUCCAUCGCCAACAGCUUGCAAGCACAGAUUGCUUCCUUCCAAUCUGAUUGGACUCCCGUCUCCUGCAUAACUCCAUCUUUGUGGUUGCUUGCAUUUUCCUGUAAGAAG